rnacentral:rRNA from 1 species
CAUCAGCUAGUUGGUAGGGUAAUGGCUUACCAAGGCUAUGACGGUUAGGGGACCUGAGAGGGUGGCCCCCCACAAUGGAACUGAAACACGGUCCAUACACCUACGGGUGGCAGCAGUAGGGAAUAUUGGUAAUACGCGAAAGCGUGAACCAGCAACGCCGCGUGUGCGAUGAAGGCCUUCGGGUUGUAAAGCACUUUUCGGGAGGAAGAGGAAGGACUGUACUCCCGGAAUAAGUCUCGGCUAACUACGUGCCAGCAGCCGCGGUAAUACGUAGGAGGCUAACGUUAUCCGGAUUUACUGGGCGUAAAGCGCGUGUAGGCGGUUUGGUAAGUUGGACGUGAAAGCUCCCGGCUCAACUGGGAGAGGUCGUUCAAUACUGCCGGACUAGAGGAUGGUAGAGGGAGGUGGAAUUCCGGGUGUAGUGGUGAAAUGCGCAGAUAUCCGGAGGAACACCAGUGGCGAAGGCGGCCUCCUGGGCCACUCCUGACGCUCAGACGCGAAAGCUAGGGUAGCGAACGGGAUUAGAGACCCCGGUAGUCCUAGCCGUAAACGAUGUGAACUUGGCGUCGGUGGGAUUAAAUCCAUCGG